rnacentral:rRNA from 1 species
UAAAAACCCCGACUUCGGAAGGGGUGUAUUUAUUAGAUACAAAACCAAUGCCCUUCGGGGCUCUUUGGUGAUUCAUGAUAACUAUACGAAUCGCACGGCCUUGCGCCGGCGAUGGUUCAUUCAAAUUUCUUCCCUAUCAACUUUCGAUGUUUGGGUAUUGGCCAAACAUGGUUGCAACGGGUAACGGAGGGUUAGGGCUCGACCCCGGAGAAGGAGCCUGAGAAACGGCUACUACAUCCAAGGAAGGCAGCAGGCGCGCAAAUUACCCAAUCCCGACUCGGGGAGGUAGUGACAAUAAAUACUGAUACAGGGCCCUUUCGGGCCUUGUAAUUGGAAUGAGUACAAUUUAAAUCCCUUAACGAGGAACAAUUGGAGGGCAAGUCUGGUGCCAGCAGCCGCGGUAAUUCCAGCUCCAAUAGCGUAUAUUAAAAGUUGUUGUGGUUAAAAAGCUCGUAAUUGAACCUUGGGCCUGGCUGGCCGGUCCGCAAAUAAAAGUGCGCAGAUCCAGCCGGGCCUUUCAACUUAAAAACCAAGAACCAAGAAAGAAGAAUGGAAGGGAAAUAAAACAAAAACAUA